rnacentral:lncRNA from 1 species
GUAAUUGCUUCACUGCACACCUUUUAUGUCACUCUUUCUGCAGAUGCAGGAAUGCCAAGGACCCCCUACAUAAUUGGUGCCUGUAUUGCUGGACUUCUCAUCCUCUUCCUGGGAGGAGGCACAGUUGCUUAUAUUAUCGUCAAGAAAUGCCAGUCGGGGAGCAGCAGGAAAAUCACUGAUGCACCUAAGAGCCUGAAUGGACUAGAAGACUCUCUAAAGCAAAGGGGCAAGGAAGGAGAACCUGUCUCUCCACAGGUAACUUUCAACUUAAUUAUUCUGGCUGUUCUUCCAUUCCA